GACGAACGCUGGCGGCGUGCUUAACACAUGCAAGUCGAACGGUAAGGCCCUUCGGGGUACACGAGUGGCGAACGGGUGAGUAACACGUGGGUGAUCUGCCCUGCACUUCGGGAUAAGCCUGGGAAACUGGGUCUAAUACCGGAUAGGACCACUGCCUGCAUGGGUGGUGGUGGAAAGCUUUUGCGGUGUGGGAUGGGCCCGCGGCCUAUCAGCUUGUUGGUGGGGUGAUGGCCUACCAAGGCGACGACGGGUAGGCGGCCUGAGAGGGGGACCGGCCACACUGGGACUGAGAUACGGCCCAGACUCCGACGGGAGGCAGCAGUGGGGAAUAUUGCACAAUGGGCGCAAGCCUGAUGCAGCGACGCCGCGUGAGGGAUGACGGCCUUCGGGUUGUAAACCUCUUUCAGCACCGACGAAGCGCAAGUGACGGUAGGUGCAGAAGAAGGACCGGCCAACUACGUGCCAGCAGCCGCGGUAA
rnacentral:rRNA from 1 species